rnacentral:rRNA from 1 species
AGUGGAUGGGGAGCAACCUAGUUGUGCGUGUGUAAAGGUAGUGCCAAGAAAAGCGAUGAUCAUGUUGAAAAUCAAUUCCCGGUACCCGAAACCGACACAGGUGGGCAAGUAGAGAAUACUAAGGGGCGCGAGGUAACUCUCUCCAAGGAACUCGGCAAAAUGACCCCGUAACCUAGGGAGAAGGGGUGCCACCGAGAGGUGGUCGCAGUGAAGAGGCCCAGGCGACCGUUUAGCAAAAACAUAGGUCUCUGCAAACUCGAAAGAGGAGGUAUAGGGGCUGACGCCUGCCCAGUGCCGGAAGGUUAAAGAAGUUGGUCAGUCUUAGGAUGAAGCUAGCGACUGAAGCCCCGGUGAACGGCGGCCGUAACUAUAACGGUCCUAAGGUAGCGAAAUUCCUUGUCGGGUAAGUUCCGACCCGCACGAAAGGCGUAACGAUCUGGGCGCUGUCUCGGAGAGAGGCUCGGCGAAAUAGGAUUGUCUGUGAAGAUACGGACUACCUGCAUUUGGACAGAAAGACCCUAUGAAGCUUUACUAUAGCUUGGAAUUGUGUUCGGGCUUCCUGUGCGCAGGAUAGGUGGGAGGCGUAGAAGGUAUUCUUGUGGGGAUACUGGAGCCAACGGUGAGAUACCACUCUCAGGAUGCUAGAAUUCUAACUUAAUUAAGGACAGUUUCAGGUGGGUAGUUUGACUGGGGCGGUCGCCUCCAAAAAGGUAACGGAGGCGUACAAAGGUUCCCUCAGACUGGUUGGAAAUCAGUCGAAGAGUGCAAAGGCAGAAGGGAGCUUGACUGCGAGAAGUACAGUUCGAGCAGGGUGGAAACACGGUCUUAGUGAUCCGACGGUGCUGUGUGGAAGGGCCGUCGCUCAACGGAUAAAAGUUACUCUAGGAUAACAGGCUGAUCUCCCCCAAGAGUUCACAUCGACGGGGAGGUUUGGCACCUCGAUGUCGGCUCAUCGCAACCUGGGGCGGAAGUACGUCCCAAGGGUUGGGCUGUUCGCCCAUUAAAGCGGUACGUGAGCUGGGUUCAGAACGUCGUGAGACAGUUCGGUCCAUAUCCGAUGUAGGCGUGAGAAUAUUGAGAGGAGCCUUCCUUAGUACGAGAGGACCGGGAAGGACGCACCGCUGGUGUACCUGUUAUGAUGCCAAUUGUAAACGCAGGGUAGCCAAGUGCGGAGAGGAUAACCGCUGAAAGCAUCUAAGUGGGAAGCCCACCUCAAGAUGAGUAUUCUGGUGUAAGGUCACGGGAAGACGACCCGUAAAUAGGCACGAGGUGGAAGUGCAGAGAUGUAUGAAGCCGAAGUGUACUAAUAGACCGUCGGCUUGACC